UACAAAUAUAUAUGGACAUGGGAAAUUUAGGAAUUUGAUUUUAAAUAGAAUGGUAAAAAGGUCAAUUCCAACUUAACCCUACUUGUCCAUUCUCUUCUUAUUGUUCCUUAUAACUCCCGAAACCCAUUCUCUUCUUACUUCCGAAAAACCACUCUCUUCUUAGUCUCCCUUUUAACUCUAGAAAAACCCACUAAAUUGGACUACAAAGAGCAGCCCCUGUUUUACUUGUUGAUUUGCCAAUUAAGAAGAGAAUUUUGUGUGAAGUUUGGCUAAUUCAGGCCACUAGGUUCGGGCACUUUGUAACCAGUUUUUAUCUUCCAUUCAAACUACCAAAAAUCACUUAAAAUAGCCUUUGAUUGCUUAGGCAAGAGUCGAUCACUCUUCGGCAACUUAAGGAUUGGUUCAUUGGAUAAUACUUGACGCGUGUUGCUUAAGCUUGUGAAGUGUGUCUACAAGAGGUCAGGAGGAUGUUCAGGAUCGACUGCCGGAGGCGUGACAGUGCAGUGUAGUCCGUGUCUAUUAGAUUUAUAUUUAUUAUCCGUAUUAGAAUUUAGACUAGUUAAACUAUUGAAAUUUUGACAUAUUUUCUCAAUCACCCUUUUACUUGAGCUAGUUUGGUUCCGCUGCGAUAUCGACCACUGAGGUCUAGUAUUCUGAUUUUGUUGGAUGUUUUGCUACUUUCUUUGAGAUUGACCACUGAGGUCUUUAAUUAUUCGAUAGUAAGAAACCGUAGUUUUCUGGAGGCUUAGUGCCAUUUGAGUCCUCUUAGGACAAUUA